rnacentral:tRNA from 1 species
GCGGCAGUAGUUCAGCGGUAGAAUGUCUCCUUCCCAAGGAGAAGGUCGCCGGUUCGAGCCCGGUCUGCCGCU